ensembl:lncRNA
AGGAAAUUCAAGAAGGGCUGUGAAAAAGGCCCUGUCAGGUGAGUGACACCAUGUGCCCCAGCAUGAGGGAAGGCAUCUGCAGCCAGCCCAGCUUGAUGUGCACUGCCUACGCUUUUGAUCCUCUGGUCAGCGAGCUCCUCACUACCUUCUAUUGUGACUGCAAUAACGUGAGUCAGGCUUGAGUCCUAACUGGUGGAGACUGUGUGAAGCUGGCUAUGGCUGAGGAAAUCUACAGGUUGAUUCCUUUUCCUUGGUGGUCAGCUUUCAGGGUGCCUAGAUGGAUCUCAGGGAUGGUUCUAGAAGUUGAUGAAAAGGAUUCCAGAGAAACAGCACAUAUGAAACACCCCUAAAUAUUUCUGAAAAACUAACACAAAAGCACAUUGGGAUUUAACAAAAUAUAAAGGAAGAGGAAUUUCAAGUGAGUGGGACAGAGUAUUCCAUCAGUUGUGAUAGGUACACAUGGUGCUGUGAGUCCAUAAUUUCUCUGGAAGGAUGGACCCAAGUGGUCGAUGUAGAUGUGCCUGAGAGAGCAGGGAAGACUAUAGCCAUGAAGUUGGUAGGUGGAGAAUGGUGCCUUUUCAUGAAAUACAUUUUCAUAUCUUUCUGAUUCUUCUGUCACAUGAAUCUAUGAUUUUCAAAGUCAGAAAGUUGAAGUUAAGGUCCCAGCUCCCCGAUUGCUGGCUCUGUUGCCUACUCUCUGAAUGGGGUGAAAUUUAACCUGGUGCGACAGGACACCAGGAGAGAAGCUCACAGGAAAUGCGACUUAACAUUUCCUAGAGAAAACCAUCCAACUGUCUACCACUUAAUGGACAAGUGGAGAAAGAAACACGUUCUACCCAUACAACAUGAUAGAAUGCAGUCAUAAGAAGUUGUGAAGUACUCUCACACUCUGCUGCGUGGUUAAAGCUUGACAACAGUCUGCUGAGUGAAAGACUCCACACCUAACAGGCAGACGCCCGAAGCUGGUUCUUCUUGUGCCCUGCUUCUGAGGACUGCACACCCAGACCAAGGCUCUCGAGGUCCAUGAGCUGCAGUUUAGCCUCAGGAGCUCCAGUGAUAGCCUCAGAAGCUUUAUGUUUCUUCUUCCUCACCUUAGCUGAAGGAACAUUGGUGAUAGCUGAGUUUUCCUGCACACCAUUCUCAUGAAUGGCAUCAGUGUCUUGGGCUUGGAUGGUUGUGGGCUGGUUGGACUGAUCAAGAUCUUCCAAGGACUGGAGCACCUGGGGAAGUUGAAUGUCCUCUACCAGGGCCCCAAUAUCUGCCCAACCCGGGCUGGACUCAAUCCCCUUGUCAAGGGUCCCUGGGUCCUGGAGAGUCAGGUGGCACUUUCCCAAGAGGGCAUCUUCAGAACCAGGAUUCUCAGGGAUUGGAUGCUCAGUGGAAGCCAGCAGCUCGGGAGAGUCAGGGGAUGCCAAGGAGAGUAAAGGCGGAUCUUGGGUGCCUAUAAAGAUCUUCUGGGCAUCCAGAGGCUCUAAGCUCUCACUUCUCAUCUCAUCCCAGUUCUCCUUCUCUGGUUGCUCCCAGCUUGAAUCCAAGGCCAAGGAAUGAGUGGAAUUCUGCACUGGAGCUCCCACUGAAAUGCCCCCAGACUCAGUUGGUGGGCUUCCCUCAAGCAACUGGGUACUUCUGCUGCUGCAGGACUCUGGGAUUUCUGCAAGUUGUGACACAAACCCUGCCUGGCUCAGGGCUUGCCAUCCCACAUAUGUCUCUGUCUCUGGGGACAUUCCCUUUACUGCAAAUGAAACAAGGAAAAAGUCAGUCUUUCCUAAGGGAGUUGCUCCCCCUUCACACCAGCACAGCCCUCAGGAGCCCACCAAGAGUCAGCAAGGCCUUCCCAUUCCCUCUCCUUAAGGACCAUGGACAGGACCUUGCUUUAUAGCUAGGAGGUAACUGUUCUUCCUGCUUAUCACCUGAUGUCUUUCUUUUUAUGGCUUUCUUUUUAGGUCCUAGGAUUGUUCUUAGUCAAAGGAAACAAAGUGAUUUUUAGAUCAGGAUAUAUUUUGGUACAGUGGUAGAGUAUUGUCUACUAUGCACAAGGCCCUGUGCACUAUAUACCCUCUACACACACACACACACACACACACACACACACACACAGAAGUGCAAGUGCCCACAUAUGUGCACUCUCACAGAUAGAGCUGUUCAGGUGUAGCUUCCUACUCUCAGAUACACUCAGUGCUCUCCUCUCUUGCUGGUAUAAGUACACUUCUUGCCUUGGACUAGGAGAGAUAAGGUCUUACUUAUGCAAAAUGUGAGCAGGACAGGUACUGAGGCACAAGCUUUGGACAGGAUCUCUGAAAUAUAAGGUAUUCCAUCUUGCUGAAAAUGAGGGAAAUGAAACUGUCCUCACCACCUUAAACUUGGAAGUGUCUUCCAAAGGGACCACAGCAAUAGAAGACCAAAGGGAAUUGCUUAUGGAGGGCUGCUAAAGGGGAACUCAUCCUCAAGAGCUCUGAGAAGUGUGGCCUGCCUCAGUGGCCUCCUGGGCUGCUCUUGUGCAGCAGGGAUGGCCACUAUGGUGUCCUGCAUUCCCUACUUACAGAGUCUGGAAGCAGAGCCCAUCUCAGGCCUGAAAUUCUGCCUAUCUCUAUGCUUACCUGUACUCAGCAGGAGAUUCAUCCCUCCUGCAUAGUGGUACCCUGAUCCCUUUUGCUUCUGCUCUCAGUACCCACCUUGGAAACUCGUUUUCAUGUUGGCUUGCACAGAUCCAGAAUAGCAGAUGGCAGGAGAAGCUGAUGUUAUGACAUUUGUAUGCUGAAUCUCCUUCAACACCAUUACUAUCUCUGGCUGAGGGGCAGCUGCCCCACUGCCUGUGUGUGACAGAAACUCAUACGGCUGCAGUCCUCCAAGCUCUGCACAUACCAGAGGCCCCAUUGCACUUUGAUUGUAGUAGUGGUAGCCCUGUCCUUGGUUCGGAAUGUAUGGUGAUGGUGUUGGCUGAACCAGGCUGGCAGCUAUAGAUGGAUAAAUGGGGAUGAUUUACCAUGGGUAUUAGCAUGGGCAGGCAUAGAUGAGGAGACAACUGUUGUGCUCUGGUUAGUGACAGACACCGUAAAGGUCUCCAAUGGUGGAUGCCUGCUUCCAGAGCCUGCCAUGCCAUCCCACUGCCAAAUAUCUGGAUAGGACGCAACCAAAGAGGACAUCUGCCUCUGGCCAGCAGCCCCUGAAAACUUACUUUCACUACAGUGUUGAUAAGUGUAGGAACUGGCUAUGACUGGCUGGAAGUAGUUGACAG